UACGGGAGGGUGCGAGCGUUGUUCGGAAUUACUGGGCGUAAAGGGCGCGUAGGCGGCCUGCUAAGUCGAACGUGAAAUCCCUGGGCUCAACCCAGGAACUGCGUCCGAUACUGGUUGGCUUGAAUCCGGGAGAGGGAUGCAGAAUUCCAGGUGUAGCGGUGAAAUGCGUAGAUAUCUGGAGGAAUACCGGUGGCGAAGGCGGCAUCCUGGACCGGCAUUGACGCUGAUGAGCGAAAAGCUAGGGGAGCAAACGGG
rnacentral:rRNA from 1 species